rnacentral:rRNA from 1 species
AAUUAGAGUUUGAUCAUGGCUCAGAUUGAACGCUGGCGGCAGGCUUAACACAUGCAAGUCGAGCGGGGAAGGUUGCUUUGGUAACUGACCUAGCGGCGGACGGGUGAGUAAUGCUUGGAAUCUGCCUAUUAGUGGGGGACAACAUUCCGAAAGGAAUGCUAAUACCGCAUACGCCCUACGGGGGAAAGCAGGGGAUCUUCGGACCUUGCGCUAAUAGAUGAGCCUAAGUCGGAUUAGCUAGUUGGUGGGGUAAAGGCCUACCAAGGCGACGAUCUGUAGCGGGUCUGAGAGGAUGAUCCGCCACACUGGGACUGAGACACGGCCCAAGACUCCUACGGGAGGCAGCAGUGGGGAAUAUUGGACAAUGGGCGGAAGCCUGAUGCCAUGCCGCGUGUGUGAAGAAGGCCUUUGGUUGUAAAGCAUUUAAGCGAGGAGGAGGCUCCUUUAGUUAAUACCUA